GACAGAGGGUGCAAACGUUGUUCGGAAUUACUGGGCGUAAAGGGCUCGUAGGCGGCCAACUAAGUCAGACGUGAAAUCCCUCAGCUUAACUGGGGAACUGCGUCUGAUACUGGAUGGCUUGGAUUCGGGAGAGGAAUGCGGAAUUCCAGGUGUAGCGGUGAAAUGCGUAGAUAUCUGGAGGAACACCGGUGGCGAAGGCGGCGUUCUGGACUGCUACUGACACUGAGGAACGAAAGCCAGGGGAGCAAACGGG
rnacentral:rRNA from 1 species